GCUGAAGUAGCUCAGUAGGUAGAGCACCGCACUCGUAAUGCGGGGGUCGGGGGUUCGAAUCCCCCCUUCAGCU
rnacentral:tRNA from 1 species